UGGGGAAUAUUGCACAAUGGGCGCAAGCCUGAUGCAGCCAUGCCGCGUGUAUGAAGAAGGCCUUCGGGUUGUAAAGUACUUUCAGCGGGGAGGAAGGGAGUAAAGUUAAUACCUUUGCUCAUUGACGUUACCCGCAGAAGAAGCACCGGCUAACUCCGUGCCAGCAGCCGCGGUAAUACGGAGGGUGCAAGCGUUAAUCGGAAUUACUGGGCGUAAAGCGCACGCAGGCGGUUUGUUAAGUCAGAUGUGAAAUCCCCGGGCUCAACCUGGGAACUGCAUUCGAAACUGGCAGGCUAGAGUCUUGUAGAGGGGGGUAGAAUUCCAGGUGUAGCAGUGAAAUGCGUAGAGAUCUGGAGGAAUACCGGUGGCGAAGGCGGCCCCCUGGACAAAGACUGACGCUCAGGUGCGAAAGCGUGGGGAGCAAACAGG
rnacentral:rRNA from 1 species